rnacentral:rRNA from 1 species
GUCGAGCGGGCGUAGCAAUACGUCAGCGGCAGACGGGUGAGUAACGCGUGGGAACGUACCUUUUGGUUCGGAACAACACAGGGAAACUUGUGCUAAUACCGGAUAAGCCCUUACGGGGAAAGAUUUAUCGCCGAAAGAUCGGCCCGCGUCUGAUUAGCUAGUUGGUAGGGUAACGGCCUACCAAGGCGACGAUCAGUAGCUGGUCUGAGAGGAUGAUCAGCCACAUUGGGACUGAGACACGGCCCAAACUCCUACGGGAGGCAGCAGUGGGGAAUAUUGGACAAUGGGGGCAACCCUGAUCCAGCCAUGCCGCGUGAGUGAUGAAGGCCCUAGGGUUGUAAAGCUCUUUUGUGCGGGAAGAUAAUGACGGUACCGCAAGAAUAAGCCCCGGCUAACUUCGUGCCAGCAGCCGCGGUAAUACGAAGGGGGCUAGCGUUGCUCGGAAUCACUGGGCGUAAAGGGUGCGUAGGCGGGUCUUUAAGUCAGGGGUGAAAUCCUGGAGCUCAACUCCAGAACUGCCUUUGAUACUGAAGAUCUUGAGUUCGGGAGAGGUGAGUGGAACUGCGAGUGUAGAGGUGAAAUUCGUAGAUAUUCGCAAGAACACCAGUGGCGAAGGCGGCUCACU